rnacentral:rRNA from 1 species
GUGCCAGCCGCCGCGGUAAUACGAAGGUGGCAAGCGUUACUCGGAAUUACUAGGCGUAAAGGGCAGGUAGGUGGUUUGGUAAGUCUGUUGUGUAAGCUCCUGGCUUAACCGGGAGAGGUCAACAGAAACUACCAGGCUUGAGUAUAGGAGAGGGUACUGGAAUUCCCGGUGUAGCGGUGAAAUGCGCAGAGAUCGGGAGGAACACCAAUGGCGAAAGCAGGUACCUGGACUAUUACUGACACUGAGCUGCGAAAGCUAGGGGAGCAAACAGGAUUAGAAACCCCCGUAGUCC